rnacentral:lncRNA from 1 species
GAAAAUAUGCUUUUUUUAAGGGAAUAUUCAGCCUGUGCAAGAUAUAAGCUCAGUUAAUUCAAGUUUUAAAUUCUGUGUAAGUGCGGUCCACUACACUCCCUCUGGGUCAUUGAUAUCACAGUAAGACUUACGAGUAGCUUUUGCAAGCAACCUACGAAGAAUUUUAUUUUUCUCUCUUUCUCUGUCCCCCUCCUUCUCCUUCUCUGACACACACGCACACACGCACUCCUAGGUCCCAUAUGAUUUCUGCUUCCAUGCUACACUCAUUUCUGCUGUUAAUGGUGCUAUGAUAUUUGCUGUCCAUGGUGCUGUGCAGUUGACCUCUCAUCCCUAGCAGUGCAGACUCCUGUUCUUAGCGGGGCCAGGCACACCACUUGCAGCAUUCUACCUUGCACUGGCUCUUGUUUCCCUUCAGCACUUCCCACCCUCAGUCAUACUUUGUGACAUCAGAGAGGUUCUCCAUCUUUUCUCCGUUGGCUCAUCUAAUGAAGAUUCCAUCCACAUCCAUUCACCUUCUCCUCAUACACCCCUUUCAAGCUCUACUUCUUUGACAAUUUCUAUGCUCCAUCAUUCAUGUGCAACAAAGCCUAGAGGAGAAGUUAUUGUCAUCUCCUAUUUCCAGAAAUACCUUCAAAUUCCAGGGGCGAGAAAGGGGCCAAAAGCUCAUCAGUGAAUAUCCGAGUAUCCAAAAGGAUAAGUUUUGAUGAUACUUGCCACCACCAUCACAUCAUUAAUAACAAGUAUAUAAAAAAGUGUUAAUAAUAUAUAAUUCAAUGUAUUCAAAGUGACUUGGCCUUUCUCCAUUCUAAAGGAGGAUUUAAG